rnacentral:lncRNA from 1 species
GUGGUCACUCCUGAUGGUUUUCAAGAAGGGGAAGGCCAGGAACCUAGGGAAAUACCUCAUUUGGCCCGACCACAACUGGCCAGAGCAGGACAAACAUGCCAUGCCAUGUCAGGCGCCCAGUUACCCAGCUGGAGGGAAAGUCAGUCCUGAGAGGGUGGAAGGGGCCAGUCACAAAUCCCGGAUAGAUAGUGACCUGGGCUCCACAGGUGAGCUGGGCUCUGAUGGCUUUCCCUGCCUUUGGAAACAAGGAGGAGAAGUUUUUUGCAGAAAAAGCCUCUUUUCCUUCCAGAACUGCU